GACGAACGCUGGCGGCGUGCUUAACACAUGCAAGUCGAACGAAGUGGCGAACGGGUGAGUAACGCGUAAUCAACCUGCCUUUCAGAGGGGGACAACAGUUGGAAACGACUGCUAAUACCGCAUACUGAAGGAGGGGAUUGCGUCUGAUUAGCUAGUUGGAGGGGUAACGGCCCACCAAGGCGAUGAUCAGUAGCCUGUCUUGGAGUAGGAACGGCCACAUUGGGCCUUAGACACGGCCCAGACUCCUACGGGAGGCAGCAGUGGGGAAUCUUCCGCAAUGGACGAAAGUCUGACGGAGCAACGGCGCGUGAUUGGUGACGGCCUGCGGGUUGUAAAGCUCUGUUAGUCGGGACGCGGUACCGAAAUAAGAGGCCACGGCUAACUACGUGCCAGCAGCCGCGGUAAUUC
rnacentral:rRNA from 1 species